GUCAUCAGCACGCGGGCCGCCAUGGCGGCCGCCGGCGCCGUCGCUCUCCGUCAUCGGCAGGGGUGAGACGGGGCGGGGUGGACGCAUGCGCGGGAGUCGCGGAAGGUCUCCCGUAAGCGGGCUGUCCCGAAAGCGAGUUCAGUGCUGGCUGUCCUCAUUUGCACCUGUAUUUGAAGCAAACAAAAGUCAGGAGACCUCGCGGCAGCUUUCCCCCGCUGGACCCGAAGCGCAGCGUGCGGUGCCGAGCCCCAGAGGGCAGCCUUGCUCUGCGCGGUGGGAAGCCGCUCCGCCCCGCCUCGCUGUGCUGCCUGCUCCAGCGCGGCGGCUCGGGGCGGUAGAGUCUGUCGUAAAAACCUUAAACUCAGUGGACACACACGGAAAAGAGAAAGUUUCGUUAUUGUGCAGGCCCAGUUUUCGGUCUUGUACGCCGUGAGAGCAGGACGCGAGGCGCUUUUUAAAUCUCAACCAAUCUAAACCAUACCAAGAUACCAUCGUGGCCGAUUUGGAUCCCUUACUUCGAUUUGUAUUUUUAAAGAUUGUUAAGGAAAAAAUAUAACUUACACAUCAGGAUGUAGGUGCUCUUGCUCCCAAGAAGCAUUCCAAGAGCUGCUCAGCUGCAUUCUGUAUGCCACCUAUAUGUGCCUAAUUAAUGAUUAAUUUGUACCUCUCAGUUACUUGCCUCUGAGAGCUCUGCGUGUAUUUCACCAAGACCAGAUAAUAAAUGGUGCAAGUACUUCAUCAUGUCCUGUAUUACCACAUCUUGGCUUGCAGUAAACUUAAUCUUUUCCUCCACUGGUCUAAGAGCUAGCAUCUAAUUUCUGUGUGUGGAUAAUGUGGGUAGUAAGUGCAUCCUUACAGUAGACAAAGGUAAGGAAAAAUGAGCCUGUGAAGACUGAAGAAUAGAACAGGAGAAUCUCCAGUUCAUCCCAGCAAACUGGUUAUUUCUGCACUGGCAAGCAAUCCACAGAUUGGUGGUGGUUGUUGUUGUUUUUCCCUUUUUCUCCCCCUCAGUUCAGCCCUUGUUGACAACGCUGUAAAACACAUAAAACACAUGUAACAGGCUUAAAUAUAUGCUUGCUCCAGUGUGGACAGCGAGUACUAAAGGCUCAGGUCUGCUGUGGACUGUCCGCCAUUGGCUUCAGUGAGAGCAGAAGUUGACUUAAAGUAAGUGGAAAACUAACGUGUCUCUCCACUCUCUAAAAAUAAGCCAGCCCAGGAAAGGUCUGAAACACAGGAAACAUAUAUGUAAUACGGAGGAGCAAUUUUUGCUUUUGUUUGUAAUGCGAGUAAUCCCAUAGGAAGAGACUCUAUUCCCCCAGGCUUUUAGUCAGAGCCUUGUCAGAUAAUGCAUCCACAUAGUCUCUGAAGUCAUAGAUUUGGGAGGAAUGCACAGCUAAUGGCAUUCCGAACUGAAUUUCUCCCAUAACAAAAAUGGGGGGAAGCUCUUUCCCCUUUUACCAAUUAGCCUGCAUUUUACUAGUGGGGAAGUAGAAGCGUCUGGAAAAAGAUGAAAGCAAAGGCAUAAUGAAUCUGCAUGAGUGAAGCAGUUUUUCCAUUUUCCUCUGGCCUCGGAGGGCACCGGGGAGGUGCGGGGGCGGCUGCUGCUGCAGCAGGCGCUCUGCGUGGGCGCAGCUGGGAGAGCCUUCCAGCAAGGUCCAUCCAUCCAUCCAUCCACAGUGGGCUCCUGCACUCCCACCACCCUGGCUUAGACGUGCUGCAUCCGCCCACCGGUCCCCUCUGGGUUAGACAGGACCCUAGGCAAACACCCUCCUACGUCUUUCUUCCCUGCUGCCGCAAGCAAUCUGUCACUCCUCCCCUCAAACCACCCACCACCCACGCGCAAAACCAUAACUGCAAGGAACACCCUCUCUCCUUCCCCCUUCGCUCCCCACUGGUCUGUUUUUCUCAGCGGAUGAAAAAUUCCUGGAGAUCUAGUGGUCGCCCCUGGGUUUGGUUUUUGAGACCCAAGGUGCUGGAUAUCUUUUAGGCUCACGGCUCGGCGAGCUCUGUUUGCAGAUGUAUUGCGAUAGUUUUUCAUUUGCAUGUAAUUACACAUGUGCAGGUGGGAAGGGGCCAUUUGCCUCCCACUGCCUCGAUGUGCCUUCCUUCCUUCCACUCCCGCUCCCGGCCUCCCACGCAUCCAGUGAUGAGAAACGCUGCAGAAGACUGACCAGCCACCAGCCCGCCCACCUGAGGAGGAGGAGCAGCAGCAGCAGCAGCAGCAGCAGCAUUUCCAGGUUUGGAAAAGAAACAUUGCUGGGGAGGAAUCCAAUGAAUUUAUUAAUGAGCUGGAUGCUGCUCUAUUUUAACCAAGAUGUUAAAGGAGACUAACCAAUCAGUUAUGCUAGCGGUCCUGAGGUGAAAUACAAAAUAAAAGAUCGAUCUGCUUCUUGCAGGAAGAGGUUAGACCGCUUCGCCAACACUUGACUCCCUUUUGUAUUCUAUCAUUACUGGUCCUAUUUAUAAUUAGACAAAUUCAGCUCUAGAGAGAGCUGGACGUGAGGCCUCUGAAGUCAGUGGUGAGCCUUACCUUGAAUUUGAUGCAGUUUGUGCCUUGACACCAAAGGUAAUUUUCCUGGUUGUGCCACUCAAGUGGUUUUCAUCACAAAUCAUAUUUGCACAUCCUGAGUAAAAGUGGUUGCUUUGGUAGUGCUUUAGGUUUACAAAGCUACGUGGUAGAUGACAUGCAUUUAAUAUGGGAGUUAAUCUUAUAUAGCUGUACUGAAUUAAAAAACAACGACAAAACAACAACAACCAUUUCAGUUAAAAACUGCUUUGAGCUAUGACCAUUAUUAGCCACAAAAAUAUGCAGAGGAGAUGGGUGCCUGUAUCAUAGUUUUAAUUAUCCUUUCUGUCCUAGUCACUUUGCAUUCUUAUUCUAGUGUUCCUACUUUUUGUUAUACUACACUGUGUGUAUAUGCAGGCUGUUUGCUUAGGUCUUUCAGUCUUUUCUGGGGACCUCAUUACAAGAGGAGGUCUCAGCAGAUCCUUUGAAAAGCUCUGGUCAGCUGAGCCUCCCACCGUACCGACAGGCCCGUGCAGAACCCAUUGCAGGUUGUCAGUAGCUAAAUGGCACAAACCUCCCUGGCUCCUGCAGGGAACAUAGCAAAGUCAGCAGGGCUUUGUUCACUCCACAAUCUGUAGCAGCGGAGCUCACAACAGGAUCAAGGUCAUAAUAUUUUUUGUGCAUAUUCAACAGCAUUAAUGUUAGGAACACGUAAACAAUUUGCUCUGCACACAGCAAGAUCUAAUGAAGCUUGAUUUCCUGUGGGUUUAUGCAUUUCAGUUUUGCAACCUGCUACCUUUCCUCCACCACUUUAAAAGCCUCAGAUAUCCUUUCUGUUUCAUCCAAGUUCCCCAUCUGCUCCCCCCUUCUUCAUGCGUGAUGUCAGCUCCUGCUUGGGCAAGAACAACAAUUCAGUGGCCAAGGGGAGCCCAUUGAGGAGUUCAAGUUGUGGGCUUUCCUCCCACAGAGUGCACUCAUGCCUUUCUUUCCUUGCCAGAUGCUGGUGUUCACACAGCCUUGAAGGAAUUUAAUAGUUGCAAGACUGCUGCCAUGCAUUGAAUUUGAUACCUCCAGUGGGUUCAAACGUUCACGAGGAGGGAAAAAGCCACUUUGUUCCCCAUCAUGACUUCAGUUCUGCCCAGAUUACCUGGGAAUACACACAAAUUGGUGCGUGAUGAAAAGCUUCCCGGAGGAAGAAACAACUGCCAUAGUCACCCUAAUGCACUGCACAUCACAGAAUCAUAGAAUCCUUAGAGCUGGAAGGGACCUCUGAAGGCCAGCUAGUCCAACUCUCCUGCAAUGAACAGGGACACCACAGCUAGAUCAGGACGCCCAGGGCCUUAUCCAGCCUCACACUGAGUGAUUUUGUUCAUGUUUUGUGAAAAAUAUUAAAGGCCUGAUUGAAAUGAAAGCUCUUCCGUUGUCUCCAGUGUGCUCUGUAGCAAGUCCUAGCAGCACAGAUCUCACCUUCAGCUUAUCUUUCUGAUCUGGCUGCUGUAAUCUUUUUUUCCCCUUAUUUUGGCUCGGAGUUAAAAGCUGCUGAAGGACAGCAGAAUAUUUGGUGUCAACCGGAAAUUCCUGAUUUCAA